rnacentral:rRNA from 1 species
CCGGCCCUGGCCUUCCCACGGCCGGGGAUUUACCGGUCCCUUCCUUUGGGACCGGGGGGACCGGGGGGGCCAGGGUGUUGUUCGGCCGGGUUCUGGGGAUGUGGGGUAAGGUCCGGCACGGGGGCCAACCUUUCCUUCCGGAACCCAGGGAGUAAGUUGGGCCAUUCGGGAGGGACUCCCGGGGCCACCCGGGGGGAGGGGGGGGAGGCGGCCAAUCCUCCAGCCCCUUAAGGUUUGGGGUUCCCCCCGUGUUCCAAGGGGGUAACCAAGGGGAAGCGGGCCGGGGAGGUUAACCAAUUUUCAAAAUAACGUCUCAGUUCGGAUUGUAGUCUGCAACUCGACUACAUGAAGCUGGAAUCGCUAGUAAUCGCGAAUCAGAAUGUCGCGGUGAAUACGUUCCC